GAGAUCAACUUGAAGAUGACCGGGGCCCUGCCCUGCCCUCUCCUGUGAUGAAUAUUUGUCAUGCCAAUGCCUGGACACCAAGACAUUGCAUGUAGCAGAGCUGAGUGAAAAGCUAGAGAAAGAGCUGAGGUAGAAUGAAAAGCAGAAAGAAAAGCAGCUGCUCAAGGGUUUAAAACAAACAGUAUGAGACUCAUUCACACACAGCCAGCCUCCCUGUCCCUUUUAAAAGACAUGCACAUAAAAUAAACACUUCAGAGAUAUAAAAAAUGGUGAAAAGCUUUACUUACAAAACUUGCAUGAAGAAUUUUCAUACAGGUAAUAAUCCUUAGUUGCAGAUCGAAAUCCAGUACAUAGGUAAAACAGUUGAAAGGCCUUCAUUCAUCUUACAUCUCUAAAACAUCUCCAAAGCAUCUCAAAACACAAAAAAACAUGGAACCCACUAGAACAAAGAGGUCUCCCUUUUUAUACCCAAAAGCAGGAUGCCUUCAGGCAUGUCUUGAUGGAGGGUGCUCCCUUAGCCCCACAUUCAAAUUCUAAAUGAGAGCCAUAAUCUCUGGAAUGCAAGAAAGGGUCAGAUUGCAAACAACAAACAGACUGCAGAUACCAUCUCUUAAAUGCAUGCAUGAUUGCCACAGAUCCUAACAUCCUGGCCCCGCCUUCUCCCAGACCCUCCCCCUUCCAGGCCCAUCCCACCCAGCACAUACCUGGCCACCUUCCAUCCCAGUCCGGCUCUCUCAGCUGGGCCAUAGUGUGGCCCAAGGCAAAAAAAAGUUUACCCAUGCCUGAACUAGAGCCUAGCAAUGAACCACAACUAUCCUGAGAUAUCCACAUCCUGAAGUAACAUCUAUAGAAUAAAUGACUACUGAGCCUGCUAACCAAACACAGCCCUGAAAACUCACAGCAACCCAACCACAAGAUACUUUUGCUGAGCAGGCUGAGGAGGAGUUAACUGUUCCUGCAUUUGUGGAGUUAAGGAAAGAAAGGGGUCAGCUGAGAAGAGGCCAGAAUCAGGGAACACCUGUGAAGUAGGGUUUAGGAGACGAGUUUAUUACCUGAUUGCUGGCUGCAACAUUGAUGGCUUGAGCCAAGAUCUUGGACCCUUGAACUCUUGUGCUCUGGAAUUUGGACUGGUCUUGGAUGCUGUGAAGAAAAACCAAGAUCAGGACCAUUUUUGGACUGGACAAUUAUAUUUCCUGGAAUUGUUUUCAAUAAAAGAGAAAAAAUAUGAUGGGUACCCAUCUCUGGUGCCAACCCUGCAAAUCAAGAUGUUAACCCCUGCAAGAAAAUUCAGCAUAGCUAAAGAAAGGAGAAAGCAUGAACGAAGAUCGAGCAAUUGCCAGGCAUUUGUAUGCAGUUCAUAAUUUGACUUUUGACUAUCCAAAAGUAGCACAUUACCUUUGCCAAUUUGCUAAUUAAGAUGAGCUUUGCUACUGUUCAGCAACCCAUUUUGGUGGUUAUUCUUUUCCUUUCUUUUCCAAUUUUCCCCUCCCCAAAGAC
rnacentral:lncRNA from 11 species